rnacentral:rRNA from 1 species
GUACACUCCUACGGGAGGCAGCAGUGGGGAAUUUUGGACAAUGGGCGAAAGCCUGAUCCAGCAAUGCCGCGUGAGUGAAGAAGGCCUUCGGGUUGUAAAGCUCUUUUGUCAGGGAAGAAACGGUGAGAGCUAAUAUCUUUUGCUAAUGACGGUACCUGAAGAAUAAGCACCGGCUAACUACGUGCCAGCAGCCGCGGUAAUACGUAGGGUGCAAGCGUUAAUCGGAAUUACUGGGCGUAAAGCGUGCGCAGGCGGUUUUGUAAGUCUGAUGUGAAAUCCCCGGGCUCAACCUGGGAAUUGCAUUGGAGACUGCAAGGCUAGAAUCUGGCAGAGGGGGGUAGAAUUCCACGUGUAGCAGUGAAAUGCGUAGAUAUGUGGAGGAACACCGAUGGCGAAGGCAGCCCCCUGGGUCAAGAUUGACGCUCAUGCACGAAAGCGUGGGGAGCAAACAGGAUUAGAAACCCGUGUAGUCC